AAGCACCGGCUAACUACGUGCCAGCAGCCGCGGUAAUACGUAGGGUGCGAGCGUUAAUCGGAAUUACUGGGCGUAAAGCGAGCGCAGACGGUUUAUUAAGCAAGAUGUGAAAUCCCCGAGCUUAACUUGGGAACUGCGUUUUGAACUGGUAAGCUAGAGUAUGUCAGAGGGGGGUAGAAUUCCACGUGUAGCAGUGAAAUGCGUAGAGAUGUGGAGGAAUACCGAUGGCGAAGGCAGCCUCCUGGGAUAACACUGACGUUCAUGCUCGAAAGCGUGGGUAGCAAACAGGAUUAGAUACCCUGGUAGUCCACGCCCUAAACGAUGUCAAUUAGCUGUUGGGGCACUUGAUGCCUUAGUAGCGAAGCUAACGCGUGAAAUUGACCGCCUGGGGAGUACGGUCGCAAGAUUAAAACUCAAAGGAAUUGACGGGGACCCGCACAAGCGGUGGAUGAUGUGGAUUAAUUCGAUGCAACGCGAAGAACCUUACCUGGUCUUGACAUGUACGGAAUCUUCCAGAGACGGAAGAGUGCCUUCGGGAGCCGUAACACAGGUGCUGCAUGGCUGUCGUCAGCUCGUGUCGUGAGAUGUUGGGUUAAGUCCCGCAACGAGCGCAACCCUUGUCAUUAGUUGCCACCAUUCAGUUGGGCACUCUAAUGAGACUGCCGGUGACAAACCGGAGGAAGGUGGGGAUGACGUCAAGUCCUCAUGGCCCUUAUGACCAGGGCUUCACACGUCAUACAAUGGUCGGUACAGAGGGUAGCCAAGCCGCGAGGUGGAGCCAAUCUCAGAAAACCGAUCGUAGUCCGGAUUGCACUCUGCAACUCGAGUGCAUGAAGUCGGAAUCGCUAGUAAUCGCAGGUCAGCAUACUGCGGUGAAUACGUUCCCGGGUCUUGUACACACCGCCCGUCACACCAUGGGAGUGGGGGAUACCAGAAGUAGGUAGGGUAACCGCAAGGAGCCCGCUUACCACGGUAUGCUUCAUGACUGGGGUGAAGUCGUAACAAGGUAGCCGUAGGGGAACCUGCGGCUG
rnacentral:rRNA from 1 species